UCGAGAAUCUUCGGCAAUGGGCGCAAGCCUGACCGAGCGACGCCGCGUGCGGGAUGAAGGCCUUCGGGUUGUAAACCGCUGUCGUAGGGGAGGAAGCAACCGUGUAGAACGGAAGUUGACCGAUCCUAGGAGGAAGGGCCGGCUAAUCUCGUGCCAGCAGCCGCGGUAAUACGAGAGGCCCAAACGUUAUUCGGAUUUACUGGGCUUAAAGAGUUCGUAGGCGGCGCAGAAAGUGGGGUGUGAAAACCCUCGGCUCAACCGAGGAAUUGCGCUCCAAACUACUGUGCUAGAGGAAGCUAGAGGUGAGCGGAACUGAUGGUGGAGCGGUGAAAUGCGUUGAUAUCAUCAGGAACACCGGAGGCGAAGGCGGCUCACUGGGGCUUUGCUGACGCUGAGGAACGAAAGCCAGGGGAGCGAACGG
rnacentral:rRNA from 1 species